GAGCCAAAAUAGUUUUUUUUUUUUUUUUGUGAGCAAAAGAAAAAAACGUAAAACGACCGCUUUCUUAAUUUUUGUUUUUUUUGUGCUUGAAAACGGUUAUGGAAUGGACGGAAGAUACCUUGAUUGAUACACUGACCUUUAUCCUACUAUAGAAGACAAUAGUUUCCAACAUUCUUCAAAAUAUCUUUUUGUGUUCGAUUUUUGGCACGAUUUAUAAUCAAUCCAGAGUGAGUAAAUACAAUUUUACUGGUUGAACUAACCCCUUUAAAAGUAACUAACGUUACUACCCGAGUUACUUUUUAAAGUAACUAUCCUCAAGACUGAAAUAUACGAUACCUUUAAUUUCAGUGUACAUGCUGCCGUUCAAAACCUACCGCACUUUAAAGAGAAUCGAUGUACUUCUAGGUUUCGAAUGACCAAACGUGUGAACGCAGAAUCUACAGAGGAGUUUUGUCCGUGUGUUCAUCCGCAGACCAGCAUCGGUGUUUUGCAACCCUUUAAUUCGUCGUCUGGGGGCAUUUAUAAUAUUGACUUAAAUAUACAAAACAUCACAACUGUGGUGCUUCGCCAGCAAUUUAAAUAGAGGAGAUUUAAAAAACGACAACAACAAAAAAAAAAAAAAUUAUAUAUUUUUACAGAGACAACGUGUUUAUAGAAGUCUGUACUAAUGUAUGUAUAUGCGCCGUAUACAUGCCAGAGUGACGUAUUGUGAAUAUAGAUGUGUACAGUAGAGAAACUUACUCGCUUUCUUUUCUUGUUAAUGAAAUAUUAACUCAAUACAGUGGACCAAAAUAGCUGUACGUGUAAUUUAUAAGACUGAAGCGAAAAUAAAUCAAUAUGUUGAAAUAAAAUCGAUGUUUUUAAUCCAGGAUGGAUUAAAAAUACUAAUAAUCCAGCGUCUGAUAAACAGGGUUCAUGUUUGGGAUUCAUUAUGUUAGCUCUGUUUUCUUUUUUUUUUACAAGAUCGUUAGGUAUAAACGAGUGAAUCCAUACGCACUUGUAAACAUUAAAGGGAUAGUUCACCCAAAAACGAAAACUCGGUUUACUCAUCCUUCACUUGUUGUAAACCUAGUGGAGUUACCGAACACAAGAUGCUAAAGCUGAUUGACUUCCAUAGUAAUUGUUAAUUCUGGCAUUCUUUUGUGUUUAAAAGACACUCAGAAAGGUUUGAAAUCACUUGAGGAAAAUAAGCGAUGACUGAUUUUUUUUUAUUAUUGAGUGAACUAUCCCUUUAAAUGGCUUCUGUUCUGGUUUUCAUCAACCAUGUGAGUUUUUCUGCCAUAAAUGAAACUAAAGCACUUUGUUCUUAUGCAUGCAGGCAGCUCGGGGCUUCUACAUUGCGAAUCAUGCAAAUGCCGGGAAAAGCUUUUCUUUCUGUCCUGUUAUCACAUCAGUACAUCAGUUGGAAAUCAUCCUCUUUUUUUGUUUUUGUUUUUUUGCGGUUGUGUUUCAGUGGUUGGCACACUUUUAACAUGUGUUGAGGAUUUUACGGGCUGGUGAGGUGUUUUCUGUGACAUGACUCUCGACUCGCAUUUUUUACAGUUUUUAAAGAAUGUUUUUCUAAAUUCACUUCAACUCAAGCUUUAGAAUAAACCAGAAGGGUCAAGGAUUCACGUUAAUGAAUAAAAACGAUUCAAAUCCUC
ensembl:lincRNA